rnacentral:misc_RNA from 1 species
AAGUCGUAACAAGGUUUCUAUAGGUAAACCUAUAGAAGGAUUAUUACUACAACUAUUAGGCGUUGCAAGAACCCUCGCUUGCAGGGUCACGCUACUAAUCACCCUUUGUCUACUCUACCGCCCGUUAUUUCCUUAGUAGGCUUGCCUGCUACUAAGAAACACGCAAACCCUUGCAUGCAAGUAUCUAAACCUCUAAUAACAACCUAACUAUUUACAA